GUGGUCAUGUCCGAGUGGUUAAGGAGAUUGACUCGAAAUCAAUUGGGCUCUGCCCGCGUAGGUUCGAAUCCUGCUGACUGCG
rnacentral:tRNA from 1 species